rnacentral:lncRNA from 1 species
AAACACCAACAAAUAAUCAGCAAUGGGUAUUUUGUAGGUUCUAACAAUGAAAACCAUAAUCAAAACUCAUAAAAUCCAAGGCCUAGAAGGAGAUAGGGACAUCAAAUCUCAUAUGAAUGAGAAUGUUGAAAACAUAUAUGAAGAAACUCUUAUUUCUUAAGCUUAUAACUUCGAUGUGAAGGUUUACACUAUACUACCAAUGAGAUUUUU